UACAGAGGGGGCAAGCGUUGUUCGGAAUUACUGGGCGUAAAGGGCGCGUAGGCGGCCUUCUAAGUCGAACGUGAAAUCCCCGGGCUCAACCCGGGAACUGCGUCCGAUACUGGAAGGCUUGAAUCCGGGAGAGGGAUGUGGAAUUCCAGGUGUAGCGGUGAAAUGCGUAGAUAUCUGGAGGAACACCGGCGGCGAAGGCGACAUCCUGGACCGGUAUUGACGCUGAGGCGCGAAAGCCAGGGGAGCAAACGGG
rnacentral:rRNA from 1 species